rnacentral:rRNA from 1 species
GACGAACGCUGGCGGCGUGCUUAACACAUGCAAGUCGAACGCUGAAGCUCAGCUUUUGUUGGGUGGAUGAGUGGCGAACGGGUGAGUAACACGUGAGUAACCUGCCCCCUUCUUUGGGAUAACGCCCGGAAACGGGUGCUAAUACUGGAUAUUCACUGGUCUUCGCAUGGGGGUUGGUGGAAAGGGUUUUUCUGGUGGGGGAUGGGCUCGCGGCCUAUCAGCUUGUUGGUGGGGUGAUGGCCUACCAAGGCUUUGACGGGUAGCCGGCCUGGGAGGGUGACCGGUCACAUUGGGAGUGAGAUACGGUCCAGACUGCUACGGGAGGCAGCAGUGGGGAAUAUUGCGCAAUGGGGGCAAGCCUGAUGCAGCGGCGCCGCGUGAGGGAUGGAGGCCUUCGGGUUGUGAACCUCUUUCGCUCAUAAUCAAGUCGCAACAAUGGUUGUGGUGAGGGUAGUGGGUAAAGAAGCGCCGGCUAACUACGUG